AGUCCCUCCGUGGGAGCACCAUAGAAGGGCAGAGACCUCGGCUUCCAAGCCAGACCCCAGAUGCUUCCCCUGCCCCAGCUGGUUGUUGUGCUUGUCACUGACUACUUGGGUGAUUCCUGCCGCUUGUAUGCUUCUCCGGCUGUGUGGGAGACACACUUCACCUUAUGGCUCCGCCCUACAAAGGUUACGUUUGCCGCCUGGAAGAGCAGUCGACUGUGCCGAUCGGGAACGUCUCAUCGCACCCCUUUUCCACGCCAUCUGUCUGACCUGGACCCAUUCCAAACACUAUGGCUUUGCUGGCAGAAUGGUCUUCCUGCUACAGAAGUUUUGUAAUCUGCUAAUUGACAGGGCAUCCCGUUUGUGCGCGAUCACG